rnacentral:rRNA from 1 species
GACGAACGCUGGCGGCGUGCCUAACACAUGCAAGUCGAGCGAAUCAACAGGAGCUUGCUCCUGUUGAUUAGCGGCGGACGGGUGAGUAACACGUGGGCAACCUGCCUGUAAGACUGGGAUAACACCGGGAAACCGGUGCUAAUACCGGAUAAUCUUUUUCCUCUCAUGAGGAAAAACUGAAAGUCGGUUUCGGCUGACACUUACAGAUGGGCCCGCGGCGCAUUAGCUAGUUGGUGAGGUAACGGCUCACCAAGGCGACGAUGCGUAGCCGACCUGAGAGGGUGAUCGGCCACACUGGGACUGAGACACGGCCCAGACUCCUACGGGAGGCAGCAGUAGGGAAUCUUCCACAAUGGACGAAAGUCUGAUGGAGCAACGCCGCGUGAGCGAUGAAGGCCUUCGGGUCGUAAAGCUCUGUUGUUAGGGAAGAACAAGUACCGGAGUAACUGCCGGUACCUUGACGGUACCUAACCAGAAAGCCACGGCUAACUACGUGCCAGCCGCCGCCGUAA